UUACAUCGACUACCUCUUCUUAGGGGAAUAUGUUGACCUAGGCCAACUCAGCUUGGAAAUGAUUAGUGUUUUGCUUGCAUUGAAGGUCGAGUAUCCACAAGAUGUACAUAUGAUUCGUGGAAACCCCGAGGCAGUAGAUAUUGGUGCUCUGUUUGGAUUCACGAUCGAGUGCACUGAACGGAUAGUAAUUUUCACAAUCUCAUUGGCUUUCUAGUUUCUUCUCUAAUUUGUUUGUCAAAUGAUUCACUUACUACAUGUGCUAACAGGGCGAAAGGGAUGAUAUUUGGGCUUGGCACAAAAUAAAAAGGUUGUUUAAUUGGCUUCCUUUGGAAGCUCGAAUUGAAAAGAAAAUCCUUUGCAUUGCAUGGUGGCAUUUGUCGCUCUAUAAAUCACCUGAAAUUAACAGGAUCAGUAGUUCUUAUGGAUUUAUCAUGGGCACGAGAAAUGGGGAUACACGUACGUGAAUGAAAUUUCCCAGCACCUUAUAUUUCAACUGGUGGAGAUCAUGUAGCUCCCCUGCGCACAUGAAGUCGCAUGUGAACCAAGGACACAACACAUUGAUGCUCUGCUUGAUAUCAUUUGUGAAGUAUUGUUGUAGGAGGAGCUGAAUUAUCAUUUUGUUUUUUUAUCAGUUGGUUGUUGUCAGAACUUAGCAAUCUUGGACAUGUAUUCUCUGAACUCAGUAUUUCAUUUUUUUUGUAGUUUUACACCCAAUGGAAUGAAUGUUAAAAUU